rnacentral:tRNA from 1 species
GAAAUAUAAAAACCCAGGGAAAGCUUCUAACUUUAACCUAUAGCGGUGAAAUUCCGUUAAUAUUUCU